rnacentral:rRNA from 1 species
AUACCCUAUUAUUUUUUUAGGUAAAUUGGUUUAACUUGAGUAGUAAUAGUUAUGGUCUUGAAACUUAAAGAAUUUGGCGGUGUCUUAGUCUAUUUAGAGGAACCUGUCCCAUAAUCGAUAGUCCGCGAAGAACCUUACUUAAUUUAUUUGUAUGUAUACCGCCGUUUAUUGAAGAUUUUUUUAGAAUAUUUUCGUAAUAUUAUAAUUUAUAAUAUUUCAGGUCAAGGUGCAGUUUAUGAUUAAGAGGAGAUGGGUUACAAUGUUUAAAAUUAAAUGGAUUUUAGAUUGAAAUAUUUAUAUAAAGGUGGAUUUAAUAGUAAUUAUUUGUAGAUUGUUAUUAUGAUCUUAGCUCUAAGGCGUGUACACAUCGCCC